rnacentral:rRNA from 1 species
GGCCCCGCACAAGCGGUGGAGUAUGUGGUUUAAUUCGAUGCAACGCGAAGAACCUUACCAGGAUUUGACAUCCUGCGAAUCUCUUGGAAACGAGAGAGUGCCUUCGGGAACGCAGUGACAGGUGGUGCAUGGCUGUCGUCAGCUCGUGUCGUGAGAUGUUGGGUUAAGUCCCGCAACGAGCGCAACCCACGUCUUUAGUUGCCAGCAUUUAGUUGGGGCACUCUAGAGAGACUGCCGGUGAUAAACCGGAGGAAGGUGUGGAUGACGUCAAGUCAUCAUGCCCCUUACAUUCUGGGCUACACACGUACUACAAUGCUACGGACAAAGGGCAGCAAGUUCGCGAGGACAAGCA